rnacentral:lncRNA from 1 species
GCAUAGCGAUUAAUCUAUUCAAUCUCUCACCGCUAUCUUCAAAGGGCCUUGCAGUUGCAGCAGGUACCUCUAAAGAUUGGUCUUCACCAUCCUGAAAUAGAGAAUAUUAUAUGAUAAUCUAAACUACUAUAGCCAAUAUGUAUUCCUGUAUGCUCAGGAAAAAUCAAUUGAAGAAUAUCUCUGAUAAAUGACGAUCCCAUAAAAGAAUGGGUGACAUACAUAUUGUUUGUCUGAACCGUCAAGACUUAUGUAACUCUAUAUGCCAUUUUUUUCAGUUCAAUUCACCAUCACUUUGCUUUAAAAAUAAACCAUGUAACUGGAAAUCAACAUACAUGUAUUUCUAAACUCUAUCAGUAGUUAUCAGAUGAAGCCUGUCGGCUGUGUUAUCCUUGUAUAUUCUUUCUUCAAUGAUACAGGCAGUGAAGUCUACUACUCUACGGCAAGUUCUAACUACUGAAGGUGCAUCGGUGAAUAGGUUUGGUUCCUGUUGAGCACGGCUAAUCUUUAAAGAACACAUGAGCAUGGUGUCAAAUAAUAGAAAUGGAUGCUAUACAUGCCAUCGGUGAUGGAUGGCCGAUUAGUCGGACUAGUUCAAAUAAAAAAGGCACAGUUAUCUAAGUCCAUGUCCAAAUUCCAAAUAAGAUUCAAGAACGAAUCAUUCCUAUGGACUGAAUCUUGGAUCCGUCCCUUUCUUUGCGAACAAUCUUAAUCUGAAUCUGAGUUAGGGUUCAAAGCUAAAUCAAUCCGAGAAACAAGCAACAGACAUGGAAAAAUAGAAUGGAAACCAAUGAAAUAAGAAGAGAUAGAAGGCCACCUUGUUUAGCCUGGAUGGAUCGGAAGUGGGGAUUGACACAUCAUCGACGAGCUCCACGGUGAGAAGUGGCGGCGAGUCGACGUCCAUAUCGAGGGACCCACCCAUGGAGGCAACCGCUUACCGCAGCCGUGAUGCUGAUUCGGCCGCCAGCACGGCCUCCAGCUCAAGACCUUGAGCGACACCGUCGCGCGGCAUCUUCGCUGCUGCCGUCCCUUUUUUUUCCCCUCAAUGUUGGCCCCGGUAGGUUUGACGGGUUAAAACCGCAAACUAGCUGACCCCACUUGCUUCAUUUGGAUCCACGCGGGUUUGGAUCCAACCCGCGCUAGGAACUGGAGUGACGGUUGAGCAUGGUUGGGCGCGGGCUGGUUCCCGGUUUCCCUGAACGCAUGAACAGGGCUAGUCGGCUAGUUUUUGGAGGGAGCUAGGAUCCACAGCCACUCAGCCAGUAGGACACGACACUUUGAGCAGCGCAGGUGCAGUGCAGCCGUGCAGGUCGCUUGCGGUCCCGUGCUUCGUUCCUUCUCUGGGACGUACCGGUGUGAGUGCCUUGCUCGCCGAUGCAAUCCGAGUCCAAUCUGGCCACGACCAACGAGUCGUUUUCGGCGAGCGCGCGAGCGGUGGCGGGGGCGCCGACUUCGGACGGACACGGGACGGGAGGGCCUGCCGUGCGGUGCACCUGCAUGCAGGGGUUGUCGUUUUUGGUUAGUUUCUUCAGCACGCCGCGCCCCUCGCCGACUCGAGAAUCCGGCCGCGGAGUUAGAGUAACUCCAAGAGACUGCUAAUCUUAACUCCAAUAUCGUUUUUAGAAAAAAAAGAGAGAAAAAAAUAAACUACAAAAAUCCACCUAAACCUUCUCCAAUUUUUUAGCGACGCUAAAAAACAGCCUACCACCGCGUAUAUUUUAGCGUUGGCGUUCCUUCCCCAAUUCUGAUUCCCGCACGCCCGCGCGUCCCUUCCAAUGGACCCAAUACGAUGACGUGGCCUGUGUUUGAAAUAUUGGGGGCUAUUUAUUAGCGAUCUGCUGUGGACUGAUAUGUUUUUGGAGGAAAUUUUUCUUGGGAGAACCCUCAAUACAUAGUUUUGGGAAAGAAUUUUUAGGAUACUCUUGGAGUUGCUCUUAGCCUGGCUGCAUGGCCGGUGGGAGUAGGGCUGCAUGUCAUGCGGGAAAUUAGCGUUUGCGGGCUCGUCUUCUAGGACUCAAACCCAACGUUUGAAAAAUAAUUUAAAUGAGGAGGGGCUUUAUUUCACUCAGGUAAGAUUUAGCUUUCCUUUUUUUGAAAAGUAAAGGGAGGAGCACUGCCAUAUCGUAUAAGGAGAGGAGAUAUUGUAGUCCUCUCCUUCUUAAAUUAAAGGUGGAGCUACUGCCUUGGUUUUGUUUUAAUAGAAACAUUUAUUUUCUAUUUAUUUUCACUCUUUUGCAUGUCCUUGUUAGUCAGCUUUAGUUUAAAAAAAAUUCUAAAGAAGGAAAGCGCUAAAAUUUCGUAUUAUUCACAAACAAAACACAACAAGAAAUUGAGUAUUUUUGUGACAAGCUCAACAAAAAAAAGUAACUAGAAUCUGUGGUCUUUUUUUGGCUUUUCAUUAGCUGUUUUGAUUCAUCAGGUAACCAUUAGUGAACGACAAACCUCGUGUGUUUCUUCUAGCUCUCUUUCGAAUUCGAAUCUUUUGUUCUCGACAAUACUCCAUUCUCGCCACCGUAUCAAUCAUGGAAUCACGACCAUACACCUGGCGCCUAAGAGAUAUUACUAGUGAUGGUCAAAAUAAACAUCACAUUGUGGCGAAGUCUGCGUAUAGUCUAUAGAUGUUAUUACCACACUACUUGAGAAUCUCCUCAGGAAAGCAGCUGGCGAGCAGUUGAGAAUCACCACGCCACGCAGCAAUGCUCAUGGAAACGCUCCAAGCUCAUGCGCUCCUUGCAGGCGUCGUCCUCAUCCUCGCUACCAUCCUCCUCUUCAAGCAACUACGGCGCACCCGGCUCGGUCGCUUCUCCCCCACGCCCAAGAGGCCUACCCUUCAUCGGCAACCUCCACCAGCUUGGCGCGCUCCCGCACGCCUCCCUCGCCGCGCUGUCCGCCAGGCACGCGGCGCCACUCAUGCUGCCCCGCCUCGGCUCGGUGCCCACGCUCGUCGUCUCCACCGCCGACGGGGUGCUCGCCGUGUUCCAGCCCAACGAUCGCGCCGUGUCCGGCCGGCCGGAACAGCGCGCGCCCACCAGGCUCUCCUACGGUCUGCAGGACGUCACCUUCU